CCUACGGGGGGCAGCAGUGGGGAAUAUUGCACAAUGGGGGAAACCCUGAUGCAGCGACGCCGCGUGAGUGAAGAAGUAUUUCGGUAUGUAAAGCUCUAUCAGCAGGGAAGAAAAUGACGGUACCUGAUUAAGAAGCCCCGGCUAACUACGUGCCAGCAGCCGCGGUAAUACGUAGGGGGCAAGCGUUAUCCGGAUUUACUGGGUGUAAAGGGAGCGUAGACGGUGAUGCAGUCAGAAGUGAAAGCCCGGGGCUGAACUCCGGGACUGCUUUUGACACUGUGUGACUGGAGUGCAGGAGAGGUAAGCGGAAUUCCUGGUGUAGCGGUGAAAUGCGUAGAUAUCAGGAGGAACACCAGUGGCGAAGGCGGCUUACUGGACUGUAACUGACGUUGAGGCUCGAAAGCGUGGGGAGCAAACAGGAUUAGAUACCCGAGUAGUC
rnacentral:rRNA from 1 species